rnacentral:rRNA from 1 species
UACGGAGGGUGCAAGCGUUAUCCGGAUUUACUGGGUUUAAAGGGUGCGUAGGUGGGUAGGAAAGUCAGUGGUGAAAUCUUCGGGCUUAACCCGGAAACUGCCAUUGAUACUAUUUAUCUUGAGUGCCGGAGAGGAAAGCGGAAUACCUGGUGUAGAGGUGAAAUUCGUAGAUAUCAGGUGGAACACCAGUGGCGAAGGCGGCUUUCUGGACGGUAACUGACGCUGAGACGCGAAAGCGUGGGGAGCAAACAGG